AUACGUAUGGCCUGAGGAGGCGAGAACUGAACCAACAGCCUAGAGAAGAGGGAUCCUGUCUGUUACGAACUUGGACCUUUACCGUCUUACAUCCUUCAGGACCUUAUUAUUAUCUUAAUAUCAGGUUUCUCUGUAUCAUCUCCAACCUUUCUCUUUCCAUGAGCUUUUUGCUCUCUUUUCAAACAGACAAAUUUUAUCAAAAUCGCCUAGAUGCUGCACCCUAUUUAAAAUAAAGAAGACGCAGAAGGGAAACUGCUGGAGAAACACAUUUAUCUGAGGACAAAUGAGAGAGUGCAGAAAAGUGCAUUAUUGAGGCAUUGCCGUGAAAAGAAAUUAGACAGAGAGAAAGCUGGGUUUUAUAUUUUUCAACAGUUUUUGUCAUCUGAAAAUAUCAGUGUUUUCGGCAUCUCAUUAUUGAAGCAUGAAUUUUUUAAACAAUGCUCACAUCACAAAAGUUUAAGCUCUGUUUCUCGUCUUCCCCACUCUUCCCUAGAUGCAAGCAGCACCUCACCGUCCUGGAAUCAUGGAGGAUAACAUGGAAAAAAAGAAUGAAAAUAGAAGAUUCCAGCAAGUAGAUUCUUCUGAAAUGUUCUUCCAACAUUUUGAGAUGGACAUAUCCCAAAAGUUGAUAAUUAUGAGGAUUUUAGUACAUCAUUCACACAAAAUAAAGAAUCCACUCUUCUAUUCUAGACUUCAAGGCAGAAUUCUGCUGUUAACACAGAAGUGGCCUUGCAUUCUAAGUAGGAUGGUCUCCAACUUGCUGUAGAAUUGUGGACUUAGAUGAAUGAAUAGAAAGAAAACAGAAAUUUCUUAUAAAUUGGUUUUUAUAUUUACCACCCCAUUGUAAAACUAUUACUAAAGGCCAUUAACCUCGAAAAUAUUUCAAAGCUUGCCGAAAAGGCAGACGUAUGCUAAGAUAAAGGAGAGUCUCUUCUGUAUGCGGCAUCUCUUAGUUAUCGUGUUCGCAAGUCAAAAGUUUCUUGUAGCUGCCGAAUUAGAUUCAAUAUUUUUUUAAAGGAUUACUGUAAAAAGUCAAAGAGCAUUAAGAGGCUCUUAAAAAGAAAUACCCUGCUAUGUAAUGAAACAAAAUGCCAUCUAGGAUGUUAGACGCUUCUCUUUUGUUACACCCUCUUAUUCCUUCAGCAAUGAAACUGUCAAGGGUCAUUGUCCUGCUAAGACGCCAUUGGAAGCCACUCUUGCCUUGCAGGCCUCUUCAAGACAAAGCUCGCUUUAGCACCGACCAAAAAGAGGGCAAGAAGGAAAAGAAAAACAGCUGAAAAUAUGUAGUCACACAAUAAACGACUUGUGACUUCAUCA
rnacentral:lncRNA from 1 species